CAAUUUUGGGUGUUUUCCCCCCAAAACUCCCAAAUUUGGGUGUUUUUCCCCAGGAAAGCCGGGCUGGGCUCGGGGCUCUCCCUGCAGCACCUGGUGCACCCCGAGCUCAAGGACGGAGCCCAACAGACCAUGCAGUGCCUGGAGCUCUUCGCCGAGACGGCCGAGGCGCUGCUCAUCAAGCACGGCAAGAGAAUCGUGGAGGAGCAGUUCGCCCUGAAGCGCGUGGCCGACGCCGCCAUCGACGUCUACGCCAUGGCCGUGGUGCUGUCCCGGUAAAUCCGGCAGAAUUCCCGGAAUUCGGGAAAUCCGGGAAUGCCGGGCCGUGAUUCGGGAAAUUUGGGGGGAGUUGGGG